rnacentral:rRNA from 1 species
UACAGAGGGGGCUAGCGUUGUUCGGAAUUACUGGGCGUAAAGCGCGCGUAGGCGGCUUUGCAAGUCGGGUGUGAAAUCCCCAGGCUUAACCUGGGAACUGCAUUCGAGACUGCAUUGCUAGAGUAUGGGAGAGGGAAGUGGAAUUUCCGGUGUAGCGGUGAAAUGCGUAGAUAUCGGAAGGAACAUCAGUGGCGAAAGCGACUUCCUGGACCAAUACUGACGCUCAUGUGCGAAAGCGUGGGGAGCAAACAGG